ACGCACGCUGGCGGCGUGCUUAACACAUGCAAGUCGAACGCUGAAGCUUGGUGCUUGCACUGGGUGGAUGAGUGGCGAACGGGUGAGUAAUACGUGAGUAACCUGCCCUUGACUCUGGGAUAAGCCUGGGAAACUGGGUCUAAUACUGGAUACGACAUGUCACCGCAUGGUGGUGUGUGGAAAGGGUUUUACUGGUUUUGGAUGGGCUCACGGCCUAUCAGCUUGUUGGUGGGGUAAUGGCUCACCAAGGCGACGACGGGUAACCGGCCUGAGAGGGUGACCGGCCACACUGGGACUGAGACACGGCCCAGACUCCUACGGGAGGCAGCAGUGGGGAAUAUUGCACAAUGGGCGGAAGCCUGAUGCAGCGACGCCGCGUGAGGGAUGACGGCCUUCGGGUUGUAAACCUCUUUCAGCACGGAAGAAGCGAAAGUGACGGUACGUGCAGAAGAAGCGCCGGCUAACUACGUG
rnacentral:rRNA from 1 species